rnacentral:rRNA from 1 species
CAAGUCGAACGCGAAAGGGGCUUCGGCCCUGAGUAGAGUGGCGAACGGGUGAGUAACACGUGGGUGAUCUACCUCUGAGUGGGGGAUAACGUUCCGAAAGGAGCGCUAAUACCGCAUGACGUUCUGGGUUUGAAGACCUGGAAACCAAAGUCGGGGACCGCAAGGCCUGACGCUUGGAGAGGAGCCCGCGCCUGAUUAGCUAGUUGGUGGGGUAAUGGCCUACCAAGGCAACGAUCAGUAGCCGGCCUGAGAGGGCGGACGGCCACACUGGGACUGAGACACGGCCCAGACUCCUACGGGAGGCAGCAGUGGGGAAUUGUUCGCAAUGGGCGCAAGCCUGACGACGCAACGCCGCGUGGAGGAUGAAGGUCUUCGGAUUGUAAACUCCUGUUGAUCGGGAAGAAUGGCCUCCGGGUUAAUACUCCGGGGGAAUGACGGUACCGAUUGAGGAAGCCACGGCUAACUCUGUGCCAGCAGCCGCGGUAAUACAGAGGUGGCAAGCGUUGUUCGGAAUUACUGGGCGUAAAGGGCGCGUAGGCGGUCGCCUAAGUCGGACGUGAAAUCCCCAAGCUUAACUUGGGAACUGCGUCCGAUACUGGGUGACUUGAGUUCGGGAGAGGAAUGUGGAAUUCCAGGUGUAGCGGUGAAAUGCGUAGAUAUCUGGAGGAACACCGGUGGCGAAGGCGGCAUUCUGGACCGAAACUGACGCUGAGGCGCGAAAGCCAGGGGAGCAAACGGGAUUAGAUACCCCGG